CCCUUAGAUGUCCUGGGCCGCACGCGCGUUACACUGAUGCAUUCAACGAGCUUAUAACCUUGGCCGAGAGGCCUGGGCAAUCUUGUUAACGUGCAUCGUGAUAGGGAUAGAUUAUUGAAAUUAUUAAUCUUGAACGAGGAAUUCCUAGUAAACGCAGAUCAUCAAUCUGCAUUGAUUACGUCCCUGCCCUUUGUACACACCGCCCGUCGCACCUACCGAUUGGAUGGUCCGGUGAAGCCUCGGGAUUGUGGUUCUUGCCGCUUUAUUGUGGCGUGACCGCGAGAACUUGUCUAAACCUUAUCAUCUAGAGGAAGGUGAAGCCGUAACA
rnacentral:rRNA from 1 species